AUACUUACCUGGCAGGGAAGAUACUAUGAUCCUGUCAGCUGAUCAAGUGUAGCUAUAGGGUGCAGCCUGCCCCUGCACUCCUGGCAAGUUGACCUCUGCAAGCUUCCCCAAAUGCAGGAAAACUCAACUCCACAGCUUUGUGGAAAGUGGGGGGACUGCAUUUGUGCUAUCCCCUU
rnacentral:snRNA from 1 species